AUUGAACGCUGGCGGUAUGCCUAACACAUGCAAGUCGAACGGCAGCACAGUAAGAGCUUGCUCUUACUGGUGGCGAGUGGCGGACGGGUGAGGAAUACAUCGGAAUCUACUUUUUCGUGGGGGAUAACGUAUGGAAACUUACGCUAAUACCGCAUACUACCUACGGGUGAAAGCAGGGGAUCUUCUGACCUCGCGCGUUUGAAUGAGCCGAUGUCGGAUUAGCUAGUUGGCGGGGUAAAGGCCCACCAAGGCGACGAUCCGUAGCUGGUCUGAGAGGAUGAUCAGCCACACUGGAACUGAGACACGGUCCAGACUCCUACGGGAGGCAGCAGUGGGGAAUAUUGGACAAUGGGCGCAAGCCUGAUCCAGCCAUACCGCGUGGGUGAAGAAGGCCUUCGGGUUGUAAAGCCCUUUUGUUGGGAAAGAAAAGCAGCAGGUUAAUACCCCGCUGUUCUGACGGUACCCAAAGAAUAAGCACCGGCUAACUUCGUG
rnacentral:rRNA from 1 species